rnacentral:tRNA from 1 species
AUUUAAAUAGCUUAAGAAGAGCUUAAUAUUGAAGAUAUUAAGGUGAUUAAAUUAAUCUUUAAAUA